UGAGGAAUAUUGGUCAAUGGGCGGAAGCCUGAACCAGCCAAGUCGCGUGAGGGAAGACGGUCCUAUGGAUUGUAAACCUCUUUUGCAGGGAGCAAGACGCGGUACGUGUACCGUGCUGGAGAGUACCCUGAGAAAAAGGCAUCGGCUAACUCCGUGCCAGCAGCCGCGGUAAUACGGAGGAUGCGAGCGUUAUCCGGAUUUAUUGGGUUUAAAGGGUGCGUAGGCGGACUGGUAAGUCAGCGGUAAAAAUUGCGGUGCUCAACGCCGUAGUGCCGUUGAAACUGCCGGUCUUGAGUGAGCGAGAAGUAUGCGGAAUGCGUGGUGUAGCGGUGAAAUGCAUAGAUAUCACGCAGAACUCCGAUUGCGAAGGCAGCAUACCGGCGCUCAACUGACGCUGAGGCACGAAAGCGUGGGGGAUCGAACAGGAUUAGAUACC
rnacentral:rRNA from 1 species